CCCAGGCCCUACGGGGCGCAGCAGGGGCGAAACCUCCACAAUGCACGAAAGUGUGAUGGGGUUACCUCGAGUGCCGUCUGAAAAAGGCGGCUUUUCCAUGGUGUAAUGCGCCGUGGGAAUAAGGGGGGGGCAAGACUGGUGUCAGCCGCCGCGGUAACACCAGCCCCCCGAGUGGUGGGGACGUUUACUUGGCCUAAAGCGUCCGUAGCCGGCUCGGUAAAUCUCUCGUUAAAUCCGGCGUCCCAAGCGUCGGACUGCGAGAUAGACUGCCGGGCUAGAGGGUGGGAGAGGUCGGCGGUAUUCCCGGGGUAGGGGCGAAAUCCAUUGAUCCCGGGAGGACCACCAGUGGCGAAGGCUGCCGACUAGAACACGCCUGACGGUGAGGGACGAAAGCUGGGGUAGCGAAUCGGAUUAGAUACCCGAGUAGUCCCAGCCGUAAACGAUGCAGGCUAGGUGUUGGGUCGGCCAUGCGCCGACCCAGUGCCACAGGGAAGCCAUUAAGCCUGCCGCCUGGGGAGUACGGCCGCAAGGCUGAAACUUAA
rnacentral:rRNA from 1 species